rnacentral:tRNA from 1 species
UAGACGCUACGGACUUAAAAUCCGUUGGCUUUAUAGACCAUGAGGGUUCAAGUCCCUCUACCCCCA